rnacentral:lncRNA from 1 species
AUGACUUGAUAACUUCGUUUCUGUCCAUGACCUCACCAAUCUGGAGAUAGCUGUUGACUGUGGAUUUAAUGAUUCUGACCAUGGUAAAGGAGGAAGUAAUUGAUUUGAAACCUUCAAUCCUGAAAUUAGAACAUGAACUUAUCCUGGAUGACCAUGAAGAGACAGGCAACGCUGGUGGCAGCAUGGGCUCAAAAAUUCUUAGGCCAACAAAGAAUCACUGUCGCAGACAAGAUUCAAAUAAAAGCACUAACCAAAAAAAAGCUCCACAAAAGAAGUUGGGUCUAUUCCCUAUCGUCAUUCUGGAAAGGCUCGAUCUUUCAUCGUUAAAGAGUCUUCAAUUAAAGAUCAAAACCUCUGCAUCUAGCGAUAAGAGUGGACCUGAGAAAAGCUUACGGAUAAAAGAAGAACCAGUGGAUGUUGAGGACCUUCACGCAGAUUUUGUGAUGAACUAUCGUCAAAAAUUUCAAUUGGAACCAGCUCCUACACCAUCUGCGAUGAUCAUUCAAAAUCUUCGCUCGAUGUUGUCGAGAAGAAAUUGAAGAAUUUGCUUACAAUGGAGAGUAGUGCCACCCAGCCAUUUGUAGAAGCCGAGGAUGAAGUGGACGUCUCCAUCAAUGAAAAUACUGAUUCUUUAUAUCAGAAUCAGUCUGGAUCAAAUGAUGCCCAGGCUUCGAAUACCUUGAAGCCUUCUCUGAAAGAAGAAAAACCAGUCAUCCACAAUUCGUUAGGGACCCUUACCAAAUCAGAGAUUCCUAUAGUUGAGAGAAGCAUCAGAAUACCCUCUGGAAGCAUUCUCAAAAACGGUUAUUAUCGUUGCAACUUGUGUGGGAGACACUUGAAAAACAUGGCAAAUCUAAAAGGUCAUUUUCGGAAUAUUCACUCUGAUGAGAGACCAUUUUCCUGUAAACUCUGUCCAAAGAGGUUCAAAGCAAAGAGUGCUCUCAAAAUCAUUUAUUUGUAACUCAUUCUGAUGUAAGGCCUUUUAAGUGUACAUUGUGUGAAGCUUCCUUUAAAACUAAAGGUAGUGUUGCUAUUCAUUUAUCAACUGGAAUUCACUCCGAUGAAAGACCCUACGCUUGUGAACUCUGCCCAUUGCGAUUCGCCCAAAGGAAUAACCUUUUGUCUCAUAUCAAAACGCACUCACUUGAAAGACCGUUCUCUUGUAAAGUGUGUGCAAGAGGGUUCAGAUUAGAAAAACUUCUGCAGUACCAUUUGAAGACUCAUUCUGAUGAGAGACCCUUUGCUUGUAGGAUUUGUUCUCUACGAUUUCGAUACAAACCAAGUCUUCAGAAUCAUUUUCAACGAUUUCAUGCUCAUCAAAUGACAGAUACUUCUAACGAGAGUUUUAACUCCUGUAAAAAAAGAGAUUCCAAAAAAAAAUUGAGUGGUCGUGGCUCAGGUAGGAAUCUCAUUCCUCUUACUUAUUCUUCUCAACAUAAAAACAAAAGACAAUUAAAAAGUUCGUUAAAAACUCAUUCCGUCAAUGAACUUUAUACUUGUGAAAUAUGUUCCGCAAAGCUUAAAGAUAAAAAAAUCUUCUAUUUCAUUUACAAAGUCACGCCAAUAAGAGAAGUUUUGAAUGUGCGCAUUGCAAUGCAAAAUUCAUUAGAAGAAGUGUCCUCAUAGCUCACUUGACAUCACAUUCUGAUGAAAGACCCUAUCCUUGCCAUAAGUGUAGUAAACGGUUCAAAGGUAAAGGACCCCUCUCCACUCAUCUUAAAACUCACUCGAACAAAAGGCUGGUUAAGUGUGAUAUCUGUGAUGCUCGUCUCAAAAGUAAUCAUUCUCUGAAGUAUCACCGAUUAACUCACUCUGAUGAGAAACCAUUCCCCUGCAAUCAAUGUUCUGCUCGUUUUAAAGUAGAAUCAGCUCUGAAAUCUCACGUUCAAAAUUAUCACACUGAUAGAGCUGUCAUGUCUUGUAAGUACUGUUCAAAAAAAUUCUCACAAAAAUUUUGUCUUCAUUCGCAUGUUCAAAAAAUGCAUAAAAAAGAAAGACCCUUCUCUUGUGGCGAAUGUAGUUUUCGAGCUGAAUCGGAACAUCAUCUCAAUUCUCACCUCCAAGUUCAUUCUGAUGAAAGACCCUUCGCUUGCAAACUUUGCUCCCAACAAUUCAAAAGGAGGUGGCUCCUCAAAAUGCAUUUACUUAAGAUUCACCACAAGAAAUCCCUUCCAUCCUGAAUUGUACCGGAUUCGAAACUGAUGACUGAACUAAUUUUAAGUGCAAAUGUGAACAAACCGUAAGCGCCAGGAUCUCUUUACUUCAGAGUUAUAGACGAGUUUAACUGUAGGAUUUUUUUUUUUUUCACUCAAAAUGUAAGCAAGAUUUCUUUUUUUUCUUUGAUAAAUUGAGAGUAAAUUGAUCCCUUGAGAUAGAAUUGAUUAAUUCUAGGCUUUACCCUAAAUGAU